rnacentral:piRNA from 1 species
UCUUCUGGUGGGUCUGGAGA